GACGGUCACGUCACGUCGAAACACCGGUUUUCGAACGCUCACCGAAGUUAAGCAACGUCGAACCUGAUCAGUACCUAGAUUGGUGACCGCUUAGGAAUAGUGGACGCUGUA